UACGUAGGGGGCUAGCGUUGUCCGGAUUUAUUGGGCGUAAAGAGCGUGUAGGCGGCCAGGUAGGUCUGGUGUGAAAACUCGAGGCUUAACCUCGAGAUGUCAUCGGAAACUAUUCGGCUAGAGUCCGGAAGAGGAGAGUGGAAUUCCUGGUGUAGCGGUGAAAUGCGCAGAUAUCAGGAAGAACACCUAUGGCGAAAGCAGCUCUCUGGGACGGUACUGACGCUGAGACGCGAAAGCGUGGGGAGCGAACAGG
rnacentral:rRNA from 1 species